CUUGAACCAAGUGUCCCUGGGCAAAGUAGGGUGCUUGAAUUUCUCAUCAAGAUGAGUUACAUUCUCAACACUGAUUUGAAGCAUUCUCCAAAGCCUACUUGCUAUUGGAAAUAUUUCUUUAUACUGUUGGCUCUAUUAAUCCUAGAAAUAAUUGUCAUAUCUUAGAAAAUGAUGUCAUUGUUUUGUACGGUUGUGAUUUAUCUUUUUUUAAUCUUAAUCAUGGAUGCCUUUUUGAAAUGCUUGUGUUUUUAAGGAUCCUCCUCUCUAAAUUAGAUGACCAGAGAGUUACUCAGGAAGCUAAUGUUCCUCUGCCUCCAGAAGUUGGAGAUUUGCAGAAGACCUUCAAAAUCAGAGUAGCCUUAGGCAUGAGAAUGUGCAACACACCAUCAUUAUUGAUUACGACGAUAAGUAUUGUUUUAUUAGGAAACUGCUCACAGGGAAUCUGCUCAGACUACAGGACAGCUCCAAAGGUGACAGCAAUAACCCAUCACAGGCACACACUGUAUUGUACAUCAUCAGGAGGUCACAAAUCAGCAGAGCACAGGAGAUCUCCGGGCUUUCAUCUGCAUAAUAAACUUCCUUGCCAGAAUAUAAAAGUAGGUCGUUGGUACAGACCAAGGCUCUUUCAAAGGAGCUGUUCAUUUUAUCGCUACAAUCGUCACUGAGUGCACUGCUGGGAGUUCACAGGGAGGAAAAAAAAAGCUGAAUCAGGUCUAAAGUAGAAUGGGGCUCUGUUGAAGGGUGUUGCUGUACAGCAGUGGACAACUUUGGCAUCGCUGCUGGGAAGAAGGUCAUCUACUAAUUGCAUUUAUCCCCGGAUGACUAAUUGAAGCAGAUGACCAAAAAAAAAAAAAAAAAAGACCCACAAAGUUUUCUUCUCUGCAUUUGGUCGAUAGUGCCUUACAUUUUCAGUUGCCUUCAUGGGCAUCUGCUGUAGUUUAAACACUGAUGCAUAUUCUGUUGUUCAUUAGCCAAAAAAUGUCAGUAAAAAAGGCUUUCAUCAUCAAACCAAAC
rnacentral:lncRNA from 1 species